AAUUAUUUUUAAUGGAAAAAAAGUUGGAGAGUGAAGAAAAAGCAACCAAAGCCCAGCAUACAUGGAAACUCCAGGACUGUUGGGAAAGUAUCCCAUGAUGCACCUCAUGAUGUUAUCAAGCUACAGGCUCUGUGCUCAGCAUGUCUCUGAAACGGCUGGAUGUACCGGGCAACAUCUUUCCCCAUCAGGCAUUCCCGCUGAUCGGCCCCACAGGCGUACACAGAUGAACCCAUCUGAGAUGUGUUUUCACCAGCCUCUGCUACGCAGGGAAGCAUAUUUAUCAUACAUGUUUGUUAGGGCUUAGGGUUUAGGGUGUAAAUAUUCAUGAUCUACAGUAUCAGACUGUUGCCUGAGAGCAAUGCACCAUCAGGGAGGUCAAAUGGAUUCUGCUAUAAGUGGAGUUUGCCGUUGUUUGUGCCACGCAGCAUUGUGAGGAGUGUUUUGGGUCCAAGUUAAGCUCAAUCAACAACAUUUCUGCACAUUUUCCAUUCAAACAGAAAUGAACUUCUACUCAUCCUAUAGUUUUUUAAAAGGCAAAAGUCAUGGUUAAAAUAAGGCCUUUACAUUGGUAAACAGUUCAGCAUCUGGAAGGUUACAAUGGCAACAUAUUAAUCUAAUUUCUGAUAAAGAUCUUCUUUAAAUGAAUAUUUAACACACUAAUCAUAAUUUGCUGAAAAUGUAUUCACCCUCUGGCAUCUAAGAUGUAGAUGAGUUUAUUUCUUCAUUGGAACAGAUUUGGAGAAAUUUAGUAUUAUAUCUGCAGCCAGAAUGCGAAUAAGUGAGCAGGUGAUGUAAUGCAACCAAACAUUUCUAGUAACUGUGGAACUGCACAUUGGCUUGGAGGAAUUUUGGCAACAAC
ensembl:lncRNA